AACUUUCAGCAACGGAUCUCUUGGUUCUGGCAUCGAUGAAGAACGCAGCGAAAUGCGAUAAGUAAUGUGAAUUGCAGAAUUCAGUGAACCAUCGAAUCUUUGAACGCACAUUGCGCCCGCCAGCACUCUGGCGGGCAUGCCUGUCCGAGCGUCAUC
rnacentral:rRNA from 1 species